rnacentral:rRNA from 1 species
UACGUAGGGUGCGAGCGUUGUCCGGACUUAUUGGGCGUAAAGGGCUCGUAGGCGGUUUGUCGCGUCGGGAGUGAAAACUCAGGGCUUAACCCUGAGCCUGCUUCCGAUACGGGCAGACUAGAGGUAUGCAGGGGAGAACGGAAUUCCUGGUGUAGCGGUGAAAUGCGCAGAUAUCAGGAGGAACACCGGUGGCGAAGGCGGUUCUCUGGGCCUUACCUGACGCUGAGGAGCGAAAGCGUGGGGAGCAAACGGG